rnacentral:rRNA from 1 species
CGGGAUGGACGUACCGCUGGUGCACCAGUUGUUCCGCCAGGAGCAUGGCUGGGUAGCUACGUACGGAAGGGAUAAGCGCUGAAAGCAUCUAAGCGUGAAGCCCCCCUCAAGAUGAGAUUUCCCAAUUCGUAAGACCCCUUGAAGACGACGAGGUAGAUAGGUUGGAGGUGGAAGUGCAGCAAUGCAUGGAGCUGACCAAUACUAAUCGGUCGAGGGCUUAUCCUA